GCCCCCGUGGCCUAGUGGCUAACGCUCUUGUUUUCCAAUUUUCAUAUCCCGGGUUCGACCCCCGACGGGUCA